AUUGAAUUUAAUCAAAUGUUAUUCGUUUCAUUACGCCUUUUGGACUGGUAAUUAAGAACAUGAUCAGUGAUGGCUUGUUUAUCUCCAUUAGAAACACAUAUAAUAAUUUGUCAUGUCCGGUCACGCUAUGACACCUUUCAUUUAAUUGAAAUGUAUCGGAUAAUCAUAUAAGCUGUUUGACCAAAAAUCCCGUUUGAAAUGUUUUUAGAAAUUGAAAUCAAAAAAGAGUAGGAUAUAUAACAAGAACAUAAUGGGGAAUUCUGUUUUCAUAUCUAAUGCCAGUUCUCACAACUUGUACGUGAAAGUUGGUUGUGACAUCGAAUAUCAGAAAGGUGCAAACAGAAAAUUCGACGCUUUUGGUGGACUUGGAGUGCAUGUUAAUAAAGAGACUCAAUGGAGUUCACCUGAUAAAUAUGGAUACACACUAGUGAAUAGAUAUACUUCUAUGGAAUUUUUCCCUGAUUCAUCAACAGGCGUCUGCUAUGUGACUAUAAAAUUCGGACUAGAUGACCAAAAGACCAUUUGCAAACAGCAUCCGCUACAAGUGAAACGUGGAUUAAUAAUUGAUAAAUCCUGCCAUGUGCAAAAUGUAAAGAAUAGAAAGAAAUGGACUGAUACGGAUGGAAUUUAUCAUAAACCAGACCCGAAAAACGAGACAACCUUAACAUCUGACGAUGAUGAGUUUCAAAAACCUGUUGAAGUCACAAGGAAAGGCAGUCUAGCAAUAGUGUUAAAUAACAUCCGUAAUAAUGACUAACUAAAGAUAUAAAAUUAAAACCAAAACUUCUCUCCACCUAGAAUUCAUGGGUAUUUUAAAUUUGUUGUAAAUUGCUACUGAAAUAAAUAUUAUAUCCUUCAUAUCUUAGAAUUUCUAUCUUGAGAAAACAUGCUGUUUGCAAAGAAAGUUGGUGAAAUCUGAUCGUAUUUAUAUAAUAGUUUUAAUAAACGUGUUUACUGAAUGAGCAUCGCGAUUUAAUACUAAUCUUUACUGUCUCAAAGUAAAUAUAAUACAGCUAAUUAGCUUGUAACAAAAACAUACAAAUUAUAUAAAUCAUAUAUACAACAAAAAAGUCAGUAAAGCAAUAGUCUAUUUUUACUCGAUUCCUAUGACAGUUAAAAAGGAACUUAGGCUUCGUACAAGUUUAAACUUGUUGGGUUCAAUUUUCCAAAUAGUUGGUAGUUUUGUUUUUCAAGUGGAAUUCAAAAGUCAGUAUUUCGAGCAACAAUUUCAGAGAAGUAAUGUAGGUCUGACCAAUGAAUGAAAUAAACGUAUGCUACUUUAAUUA